rnacentral:lncRNA from 1 species
GGCACGGUCCCAUACCGGACCGGACCAGUGCGAACUGACAAAGGGAGGAAGGGAUGAAUCAGGGAGGAGGAAGGGAGAGAGGAAAAGAGAGGAAGAGAAAGAGAGAGGAGGGAAAGGAAGUUGAGGCAGCGGAGAUGCCGCCGGUGGCCACCUAAGGGCUAUGUGGGCCCUCAAAGGGCUACGGUGCCACCAUGGCUCCACAUCGUCCGUGGGAGAAAAGAGAGAAGAGAG